rnacentral:lncRNA from 1 species
GAGGAGCCUAAGCUGCUCGGUGGCACAGGGGCUAGGAAGGAAGGAUGGGGAAGCUUCCAUGCUUGUGCUCUGAGGUAAAGCAGGAGGAGCAGACAGUGCUAGUUCUGUUUUCCUGACAUUAACAAAAUUCACUGUGCAGGCCUGGGAGGAAUAAACUUUGUGACUGUUGCUGACCUGUAACCAUUUUGAUGACAGGUGUUGGAUGUUUUGCUAAGAAAACUGAAGAAAAAUUCAGGUUGGGAAGAAUGUUUUCAAGGUCAUACUUCAUGCCGUUGGUAAAGAUUUUAUUCAGAAUAAAGCAGGAAUGCCCCUUGCUGAACAACUGCUCUGUUGGACGUUCAUCUCUACAACAAGCAAAAAGAACACAAACUUUCACUUAAAAUGGAAUACAAGGGGAGCCGAUCAAGCUAACAGAUGCCAACACUUUCUUGUGCAUGGAUUUUACCUUCCAAGUUGCAUCAUCUCCUUCCAAAGUGCAUUGUAUGUCAGUAGUCAUAUGUGAGAUUCUCUCUGAACUAUGCCACAUUGUGCCAGUUGCAGAAACCAAUUGAUGCAGUCUGAAUGGCGGGGUAUGUAUGCUGAUGCAAACUGCUUUCCCCUGCUGACUGUUUCUGAUAGGGGGAUUGAUCCACUUUGUGAUCUUUUUCAAAACACUUCUUCCUAACUUCACCGUUUGUAGCUGAUUACACUUGCAUCCACUAUUUGUCUCUCCUAUUUAAGCAAACAAAGAAAACAAUGAAAAAAAAUGAAAAAGUACUGUGUUUGGUAUCUAUGCAUGAGCAGGAGGUCUUGAUUUAUUUGCUCUCUUGUUUGCAUAGCUCUAACGAUGGUUAUUUAACUAGAUUAUUUAUUAUUCAUAGACCUCUGUAAACACUGGCCGUGCGUGCUGUCAGUAUGUUUGCAGUUCCGCACAUGCAGCAGCGGGUUCUGACUUUUUCAGAAAACAUUUUGUAGUCACUUUAUUACCAAAUUAACAUCUUACUGACUAAGGAAUAAAUUUGAAAUCUUGACCCCA